rnacentral:lncRNA from 1 species
AGCAGUUACAUAAUUUAGAGAAGGAAGACUGACAGCCUUCAGUUACUCAGCCAGCCUGCAGUAAUGACCUUCAGGGAGGAAGCAGUGAAUCUCAUUCUUCAGAAGGUGAGAUUCCUCUUGUCUUCACUCCCAAACCAGAGGAGCCUAAACCUAUUGACACCAUCCACAGAGGCAACAGAGAAGGAUGGAGGAUGAGCAGCAAAUUGAAGACAUUUAGGACAUAUUGUCACAGAAAUGUCACCUCAAGUUAUCCAUUGGUCAAUAUUCACAUCUCACAGAUGGAUUCUCCCAAUUUAAAAUACUCACAAAAUAGUGAUAUUAUGAACUGUUCAAACAAACUAGGAUCUUAAUAAUCAAUCAUUUAGUCAGAAGAAUCCCUAAGCAUGUCAAAGAAUUGAAUGCUAUCCUUCAUAUAGUGCCAGAUCUGAGAUAAGAAAACAUUUAACCUACAAUCCAGUGUGAAAUAUUCUCAUUUUAGAGGAAAACAGAAAUCCAAAAUGCCAAAUGCAAUUUAGGCCUUCUUGCAAUAUGUAAUGUUUCUUGAUAGUUGAAGAGAUGAUAGAUAGAGAUAAAAAUAGACGUAGAUAAAGAUAUUUAUCAAAGCUAGAGUGGUCAGAAAGCAUAGAUGACAUGCUGGAAAGUGCCACUGAAACAUAGGUGGAAUUUUAAAACUUUAGUCCAGUUCCAUUUAAUUCACCACGGGCAUUGGGUUUAAUAAUAUAUAAUAACUCUAGGAAUUAGAGAUGUUUUCCUUUCUUCAUUCGAAUAUCUUUGUAUUUAAAAUUCUAUACAUGUUUCUAAUAAUUUUAUCUUUUUUAUAACAUUUAAAACAGUAUUAUUAUAACAUCCUUAUUUCUAUCUCACCAAAACAAAUUUGAUUUAAAUAUAAUUGCAUAGAGCCUUUAGAAGUCUGAAUUGUCUGCACAACUGCAAUCAUCUUAUUUAUUUGCUAAUAGUGGAGAAUAACUGUUAUGAUGUAAAUACACUUUUCAAUAAGUUAAAAAUUGCCAUAUUAAGCAACAUGAUUUUAUAAGUUAAAGUACAUGGAAUGGAAACAUUUGUGAACAGUGUUAAAACUUGUAUUGUCUACUUAAAAAUACUUUAUAUUAUCUUUACUUUGUAACAGAUGUUAAUAUAAAUAUGUUACUAAACUAAAUUGUAAUCAGAUUCCCCUUGAAGUAGAAGAGAAAGGUCUAUUUGUUUUUACAUGAAAUAACUCCAAGGCAUUGUGAUUUUGUUCUUAUAUCUACUUUCAGUAGAUUUUUGACCUUUGUAAGCACUUCCAGGCCAUAAAUUAUCAAGUCUCCUUGUCAACCUAUCUGAUUCUUGUGGCAGUCACCUUCUUCACAGAUUAAUUUUACCCAGUCUAGUCAUGCAUUCAUUCAUUUACCAAUAAUUACUGAGUAUCUUCUAGUGCCCUGAUGGCCUAGUGGUUAAGGUUCUGGUGUUGUCACUGCUGUGGAUCAGGUUUGAGGCCUGGCCCAGGAAUUUCUGUAUGCCAUGGUUGCAGCCAAAAAAAUAAAUAAAUAAAUUAUUGAAUAUCUUCUAAGGAAACUUCAAGAAGACAAAUUCAAUCAGUAUAAGUGAGAUUUUUAACAAAAUUGUCCAAAGAUAAAAUAAACUGCCUCAAAAUAUAGUAAAAUUCCCAUUGUUGAAUGUGUGGAUAUGCUGGAUGACCAUCAGAAGCAAUUUUGCAGAAUAGAUUUAGUAUUACAAAACCAUGUUAUCAAAAAGGCAAAUUUGUGAUAUUUUACAAACAUGAGAUGCUGUAAUUCUAACUAUAAUUGUCAAAAAAAUCUCCCUAACUGCCAUAGGCUUAACCCAUUUUACCAUCUUUUACACUGGAAUUAGUGAUGCCUAUAAUAGAACUAUGAAAUUGCUUUUUCCUUGGUUUUCAGCUACUUCAGGGAGGAAUGGUUCACAAGUUAACACCAUGUUCAGAAGUAAAAAUAUAAUGUAUGCUAUUUCUUCAAGAACUGUUUCAUAUUUGUCUUACUCUGUAAAUAAAUCCAAAUUAGUUUGCUCAAUAUUCCAUACCAUAAAAGCAGAAUCAAGAGCAAUAAUGGUUUUGUUUUAUUCAAAUCUAAGUUAAACUCUCCAAGAAUCCCCCAGUUAGUUUAAUCACGGCUUGGCACAUCCACAAAUCUUUGGUUGACUGUUUAGAAGGUCAUAAACUUCCAUUUUCUCUACUUGUUGAAAGAUGCAGCUUCUUCUCCCACAAAGUUUUCUUAUUCAUUAGCUUGUCAAAGUUAAUGGAUGCAUGACUAGCCCUAAGAGUGAAAACAAUAUAGUGUGUAAAACUGGUCCUUUACUUGUUGUGAGCAGCUAGGAAACCACUGGUUGGACUCAAUAUAGGAUCAUUCAUUCUACAAAUAUUUGCAGAGCAUGUGUUAUGCUCCAGGCACUCUUCUAUCAUAGGCAAUGCAUCUGUGAACAAAACAGGCCAAAAUUUCUGCCUUGAAGAGUCUGGAUUCUAUGGGAGGAAAGGAGGCAGGAAAGAAAUAAGAAAAUUUAUUUAAUUUAAUAUAUGCUACAUAAUAAUAAGAGCUAGAGAGAAAAACAUAAAGCAGAAAAAGAGAAUACAUGCAUGUGUCUAUGUGUAUAUAUUUGGGAGAAAUCAAAAUUUUAGUUAGGCUGGCCAGGAUAGAUCUCACCAUAUUUGAGGAAGAGCAAGGAAGCCAGAGUGACUGGAACACAGGAAGUAAGGACACAUUGUUAAAUCAGGUAAGAUUUCAGAAGUCAGAGGAAAAAAAUGUGUGUUUUUAUAAAAAAUGAGAUAAGAAGCCACCGGAGAUUUCUGAAUGGAGGAAAGUUGUGAUCUGGCUCAUGUCUUCACAGGUUCACCUUUGCUGCUCAGUUGAGAACAGAUUAAAGAGGCAAGAGAUGGAAGCAGGAAUAUGGGUUAGUAGAUAGAGUAAUGACUCAUGAGCAGGAUAAUGGUACUGGGAUGGAGGUCGUGAGAAGUGGUUGAAUUGUCCCAGAUAAAUUUUGAAGGCACUGCUGACAGAUCCAAUGUGAAGGAUGAUUGUAAGCGAAGAUGGCACCAAGGUUUUUGGCCUGAACAAGUGUAAGGAUAGAGUUGCCAUUGAUAAUACACAGGGACCUACAGCUUAGUUUGAUUGACAUUGAGUUUUUAAUGUCCAAGCUCCAAGAUCCCACCAAAAUGAAAGUAAUCCAAAAUGCAUUUCAGCAUAGUGUAUGUUGUAAUUUAUUAAAAAGUUGCAAAUGAGGCUCAUGUAAUAUAAUGGGUAGUAUAUACUCAGCAGGGAGAAAUAGAUAAUGGCUAUGUGAAAUUUUUAUAAUGAGGCAAUAUGACUAGUGAUCUUUACCUUGAAAUGGAAUUCAGAGCAUUGCCACUAAAUUGAAAUGGAAUUCUGAACAUUGCAGACUAAAACAAUUAGUUAAAAUUAGCUGUUUUAAAUUCCAAAUUAUUUACCCACAUAUUUGACUGUUUCUACUGUCUAAUUCCCAGCAUUCCAUAACUAUGCCUAGCAACUGUUAACAAAAUAUAUACAUCACUGAAUCUUUGCAUGAACUCUAGACCAUAUAUACCAAAAAAAAAUCCCACUGUGCCAUUCUUGGCUUAAAUUAAGGACUAACUCUGAGGAGAUCUCAUAACUACAAUAGUCACUUUUCUGAUUGCAUGACAUGCCAAGCCACUUAAAUGGCAUGUGUAAGGUAAAAUAAAAUCAAUUGCAAAGAGGUUUUGGUUAUAAUUUGUUAGCUGCAAAGCAUACAGAAGAUUUGGUUGAAAAGUAUCUCAGGAGGGGAGAUCUUCAACCAUAUAUUGUAAUGGCAUUGUAUUUCUUAUCUCUUGUGAAAAUUUAUCAAAAUAAAUCUGGCAGUCAGGAUCAUGGUGAUCCCUCUUCCUUUGGAGGAGACAUGCGAUCUUCUUUUCACUGCUUUGGGCUGCUUACAUGAUGCUAGUUAUUAAUGACACACUCAGGAUUAUGGUGACCACUCUCCACCUCCUCCAGCAGAUGUAGCCAGACUAUGGCAAAACAAAACAACAAAUACAAGGGUAUAAUUCUAUUUUGCAAACAAAACAGUAGGGUAUUAACUGCUUCAAAAGAUUCCGUAGCCUGAAACUUCUCUCUAAAAUAAAUGCCUACAAAUGUUAUGAUUGGUUAAGUGAUAAUGUUGCUUUAAAUGAGAUUACUUUCUAGUGGUGUCCUUCAUGCAUAAAUUCCUCCACUGGCUACCUGGGCCUGAAGAUGUCUGGGGUUUUAAAAUUAUUAUUAUCUCUCCAUUUAUUUCGUUUUUUGUAUUUCACUUCUAAAGAAAAAUUACCUUUGUAUCUUUUGGGGUUAAAAUUGAUUCACUUUUUCCACCUUCCUAAGCAUGUUUCAUUGAAAUACAAUAUUGAUAUAUCUCCAUGAGGGAGUUUAAUCUGCCCUCUCCAAAUUAAAGCGAAAAUAGGAGAUGACGCUGGGUCUUUAUAAUGUCCCCUUCUGACUCACUUUUCCUCGCAACCAUGAAUAAAAAAUUUUUCUGAAAAAGCAGUUCCUAUAUAUAUCCCUGCAUGUGUAGACCCCAAGCAGAAUAUUCAGUAAAUAUGCACUGGGCUCCCACUUGAUGUGAGGUGUUAUGUUAGAUGUUAAGGUGAAUACUGCAAAGUAUUGAAAUGCCUCCUGUCCUGAGAGAGCUCCAAUCUGCUGGGAAUUCUGAGAAAGAUAAGUCAAUUAUGACAUUACAAGGGCAGUCUGGGCACAGGUAAAGUGAGAUUAAAUCCAAAGAGAUCACAGUUUAUUUAGAAAGCAUUAUAAUAUUUUAUACACUUUCAUGUUUUGUCUGCACAAUAGCUCUUUGCUCUGAUUAGAGCAUAAGUUACUACCCCUAUUUGACAAAUGAAGAAACUAAAUCACAGCAAGUGUAUUGGCAGAGUAACUACAAGUAGAAACUCAGUUCGUGAAUCUUAAUCUGUCUAUGUUUUUUAAGAUAGGUGUACAGAAAAUUCCCCCAGGACUCAAACAGCGGCCCUUUUACCUUCACUUUAUAAGUUUUUAGUUAUUAUUAGAAUCUGAAGCAAUGCUAAAUUGUAUCUUAGUUUCAGUUCCCGGGGAAACAUAUCCUGAGGCAGAAACACAUAUGCAAAAGUUUGAUGGGACGUGCCCUUGGAAACAUCUAUAAAGGAGUGAGUGAGAGAAACAAGAGGCAGAGGCUGAAUUUAAAUGCAGUGGCUAUAGGGAAUUCUGAUGCUCCAUCUUCAAAGCUGCCCCCACCCCCAUCCAGGUGACAGGGUUGGGUCUUUAUACUGCCUUAUUUACCAAUCAUUGAAUAUAAGGUGCUCCGGAGAGAAAAUGAGACUUGGGACAGGAAACUACCUGCUCCCAGAGAGGUAUUCAGCCAGUAACCAGUUACAUAAGAAGUGAGUGAACUUUCCAGAAGUGGGGGUCUAGGCAGUGUAUCACGCCUCCACCCCAACUAGUCAGGAGAGGCUAAAUGAUGCUAUACAGACAAAUUAAGCUCAAAAUGCCAGUGGCUUAAAUGACAAAAUGUAUCCCUUGCUCACAGAAUAUACCCAGCGAAUGUCAGGUCAAUGACCUAGUGAUCUGUGCUGCUCCUUCUUGUGUCUUCAUUUCCAGCAUGGUCUCCUCAGUUAUGCAGGGGCUUUCACUGCAGCAAUCUGAGACUGACAGGUCACUUCUACUCACAGCUUAGAAGCCAGAAUUAAUCACAGGCUCUUUAAGAGGACUGGGCAGUGUGUGCUUCCUUGUACCUGGGAAGGAGAGAAACAGAGAAAUAGCAAUAUGAGAAGUAUCCCAUCUACUCUUUUUGGUACCAAGUUAAAUCACACUAGAACAGUAAAACAUCAACCUACCAGUCAAUAAAUAUGUACAGAUUACAUUUUAUGUAACAGUGCUACAUUAGCAGUUUUAACAAAUAGUAAUAGCAGAACAACAAAGCAUGAAAUAUCUGGAUGGGGAAAAGAUAAUCACAUUGGCAAAGUAAAGAAAGUUAUUCAAGGCAGUACAUGAUUGAGACCUAAAUUGUGACUGUUGACGUUAAAUGCUAUAAGAAUGUGGGCAAGAGAUAUCAAAGAGAGGAGAAGUCAGAAAAGAUUUCAUAAAAAAUACAAAAAUUGAAUUGGGCCCUGAAAAUUGAAAACACUAUGGAAAAAAACAGCAAUUUUCCUCCAUCAUUAGAAUAAGGUCUACAUCAUAACCAAUCUAAGAACUUUUUCAAUGGUCCUUUCUGAAAAUCUCACAUUCUCAAGGAUAUGCUGCCAUAAUUCAUGCAAAAUAUUCCCUAACAUGAGGGAGGUUGCUGUCGUGGCUCAGUGGUUAACGAAUCCGACUGGAAACCAUGAGGUUUCAGGUUCAAUCCCUGGCCUCGCUCAGUGGGUUAAGGAUCCGGCAUUGCCAUGAGCUGUAGUGUAGCUCGCAGACGCAGCUCGGAUCUGGCGUUGCUGUGGCUGUGGCAUAGGCUGGUGGCUACAGCUCCAAUUCAACCCCUAGCCUGGGAACCUCCAUAUGCCGCAGG